rnacentral:lncRNA from 1 species
CGUAGGGGAUCCACGGGUAAGAAGUUCAAAAAAUUGAUAAGUCAUUUUUCGGGAAUCGCACAAUGAUUGGCAAAUUCUGUGCCUGAGUGCAUCAGGUACACAAUCAAGUGAAGUGAUAGCAUCUGCAUUUUUCACUAAAGGAAUCGCACAGUGAUUGGCAGAUUCUGUGCCUGAGUGCAUCAGGUACACAAUCAACUGAAGUGAUAGCAUCUGCAUUUUUCACUAAAAUGUCCAUGCAUAGGUCUUGUAGUGAGGGAACCACCAGCUUUCUAGAUUGGCACAGCUGGUCCUUUUUGGGAACCCAUACCAAUUCAAUCUUACUUUUCUCAGUAAAUGAACUCUGCUGACGCUUGAUGUUAGUUUCACGAUCUCUAAUAAUCUUCAUAGCAGUUGAAACUGGACCAGGCUAGUCUUCUAUUUCUUCAGUGUUCACUUCCUCCUGUGGAAUUUCCUCAGCAGCGGUAUUUAUAUCAUGGACCAGGCCAGUCUUCUAUUUCUUCAGUGUUCACUUCCUCCUGUGGAAUUUCCUCAGCAGCGGUAUUAUCCUGUUCUGUUUGGGAAGAGAAAUGAGCAAACCUGGAAGCAUUUCGUCUGGCAAUAUC